GGGCGUGAUGGGCGGCGGCUCGGACGCGCGCGAUCCGGAUCGGAUCGGCGGCGGCCCGGAGCCGCGCGAGGUGCGGUCCGAGUCCCCGCUCGUCGC
rnacentral:tRNA from 1 species